rnacentral:rRNA from 1 species
AGAGUUUGAUCCUGGCUCAGAUUGAACGCUGGCGGAAUGCUUACACAUGCAAGUCGAACGGCAGCACGGGGGCAACCCUGGUGGCGAGUGGCGAACGGGUGAGUAAUACAUCGGAACGUGCCCAGUCUGGGGGAUAACGUAGCGAAAGCUACGCUAAUACCGCAUACGAACUGAGGUUGAAAGCGGGGGAUCGCAAGACCUCGCGCGAUUGGAGCGGCCGAUGGCAGAUUAGGUAGUUGGUGGGGUAAAGGCUCACCAAGCCGACGAUCUGUAGCUGGUCUGAGAGGACGACCAGCCACACUGGGACUGAGACACGGCCCAGACUCCUACGGGAGGCAGCAGUGGGGAAUUUUGGACAAUGGGCGCAAGCCUGAUCCAGCCAUUCCGCGUGCAGGAUGAAGGCCCUCGGGUUGUAAACUGCUUUUGUACGGAACGAAACGUCCCGGGUUAAUACCCUGGGGUAAUGACGGUACCGUAAGAAUAAGCACCGGCUAACUACGUG